GGAAGUAAAAGUCGUAACAAGGUUUCCGUAGGUGAACCUGCGGAAGGAUCAUUAAAAGUAAUAUAUAUUUAUUCGAAUAUACAUUUCAAACCCCUUGUCUAAACUACCUGUUGCUUCCGGCUGUUUGGGCUGUACAGUUAGCUGAAUAGUCUGGCUGGAAGGUUAACAUAAAAUAUUGUAUUUAUAGUCUUCUGAAUUUUUAAAAUAAAAGUUAAAACUUUCAACAACGGAUCUCUUGGUUCUCGCAUCGAUGAAGAACGCAGCGAAAUGCGAUAAGUAGUGUGAAUUGCAGAAUUCAGUGAAUCAUCGAAUCUUUGAACGCACAUUGCGCCUUCCGGUAUUCCGGGAGGCAUGCCUGUCCGAGCGUCAUCAAAAACCACUCAAGUAGUUUUGCUUGGUCAUGAAAGAAGAGUUUGCUUGCGAAUUCCCUUUCGAAAUUCAAUGGCGGAGAGUCUCAUGAUUCCGGCGUAGUAAUAACUUAUUCGCUUGGUCAUUGUAACAAUCCUGCCUCAAACCCCCAAUUCUAGUGUUUGACCUCGGAUCAGGUAGGGAUACCCGCUGAACUUAAGCAUA
rnacentral:rRNA from 1 species